rnacentral:rRNA from 1 species
CGAACGCUGGCGGCGUGCUUAACACAUGCAAGUCGAGCGAGAAGCUUAUUGACAAACUUUUAGUGAGUCGAUAAGUGGAAAGCGGCGGACGGGUGAGUAACGCGUGGGUAACCUGCCCUUGACUGGGGGAUAACACCGGGAAACUGGUGCUAAUACCGCAUAAAGCCAUACCAUAGCAUUAUGGAAUGGCCAAAAGGUUUACUGGUCUUGGAUGGACCCGCGUCCGAUUAGCUAGUAGGUGAGGUAACGGCUCACCUAGGCAACGAUCGGUAGCCGGAUUGAGAGGUUGGCCGGCCACAUUGGGACUGAGACACGGCCCAGACUCCUACGGGAGGCAGCAGUGGGGAAUAUUGCACAAUGGGGGAAACCCUGAUGCAGCAACGCCGCGUGAAGGAUGAAGGCCUUCGGGUCGUAAACUUCUUUGAUUGGGGACGAACAAUGACGGUACCCAAAAAACAAGCCACGGCUAACUACGUGCCAGCAGCCGCGGUAACACGUAGGUGGCAAGCGUUGUCCGGAAUUACUGGGUGUAAAGGGCGCGCAGGCGGGGAUGUAAGUCAGGUGUGAAAUACCACGGCUUAACCGUGGGGCUGCAUCUGAAACUAUGUCUCUUGAGUACUGGAGAGGAAAGUGGAAUUCCUAGUGUAGCGGUGAAAUGCGUAGAUAUUAGGAGGAACACCAGUGGCGAAGGCGGCUUUCUGGACAGUAACUGACGCUGAGGCGCGAAAGCGUGGGGAGCAAACAGGAUUAGAUACCCUGGUAGUCCACGCUGUAAACGAUGGAUACUAGGUGUAGGAGGUAUCGACCCCUUCUGUGCCGGAGUUAACACAUUAAGUAUCCCACCUGGGGAGUACGACCGCAAGGUUGAAACUCAAAAGAAUUGACGGGGGCCCGCACAAGCAGUGGAGUAUGUGGUUUAAUUCGAAGCAACGCGAAGAACCUUACCAGGGCUUGACAUCCUCUGACGACUCUAGAGAUAGAGUUUUCCUUCGGGACAGAGUGACAGGUGGUGCAUGGUUGUCGUCAGCUCGUGUCGUGAGAUGUUGGGUUAAGUCCCGCAACGAGCGCAACCCUUGUCGUUAGUUGCCAGCAUUCAGUUGGGCACUCUAGCGAGACUGCCGGUGAUAAAUCGGAGGAAGGUGGGGAUGACGUCAAAUCAUCAUGCCCCUUAUGUCCUGGGCUACACACGUACUACAAUGGCUGUUACAGAGGGAAGCGAAACCGCGAGGCGGAGCUAAUCCCCAAAGGCAGCCCCAGUUCGGAUUGCAGGCUGCAAUUCGCCUGUAUGAAGUCGGAAUUGCUAGUAAUGGCAGGUCAGCAUACUGCCGCGAUACGUUCCCGGGCCUUGUACACACCGCCCGUCACACCAUGAGAGUCAGCAACACCCGAAGUCAGUAGUCUAACCUUUUGGAAGACGCUGCCGAA